rnacentral:ncRNA from 2 species
UACAUUUGCGGCGCUUUUGGUUUCCGACUUUACAGUCGGAAUUAAAAGGGAAUACAGUGUAAAUCUGUAACUGUCCCGCAGCUGUAAGCUCUGUAACGGUUUUUCUAAUCUUUCGCCACUGUGCCGGCUUGUCGGCAUGGGAAGGCAGAAAACCGGGAGUAAGUCAGAAGACCUGCCUUUAGCAUUAAUUUCAU